rnacentral:rRNA from 1 species
UCGGCAAUGGACGAAAGUCUGACCGAGCAACGCCGCGUGAGUGAAGAAGGUUUUCGGAUCGUAAAGCUCUGUUGUAAGUCAAGAACGUGUGUGAGAGUGGAAAGUUCACACAGUGACGGUAGCUUACCAGAAAGGGACGGCUAACUACGUGCCAGCAGCCGCGGGUAAUACGUAGGUCCCGAGCGUUGUCCGGAUUUAUUGGGCGUAAAGGGAGCGCAGGCGGUCAGGAAAGUCUGGAGUAAAAGGCUAUGGCUCAACCAUAGUGUGCUCUGGAAACUGUCUGACUUGAGUGCAGAAGGGGAGAGUGGAAUUCCAUGUGUAGCGGUGAAAUGCGUAGAUAUAUGGAGGAACACCAGUGGCGAAAGCGGCUCUCUGGUCUGUCACUGACGCUGAGGCUCGAAAGCGUGGGUAGCGAACAGGAUUAGAUACCCUGGUAGUCCACGCCGUAAACGAUGAGUGCUAGGUGUUAGGCCCUUUCCGGGGCUUAGUGCCGGAGCUAACGCAAUAAGCACUCGCCUGGGGAGUACGACCGCAGGUUGAAACUCAAAGGAAUUGACGGGGGCCCGCACAAGCGGUGGAGCUUGGUUUAAUUCGAAGCA